rnacentral:rRNA from 1 species
UACGAAGGGGGCUAGCGUUGCUCGGAAUCACUGGGCGUAAAGGGUGCGUAGGCGGGCCUUUAAGUCAGAGGUGAAAUCCUGGAGCUCAACUCCAGAACUGCCUUUGAUACUGAGGAUCUUGAGUAUGGGAGAGGUGAGUGGAAUUGCGAGUGUAGAGGUGAAAUUCGUAGAUAUUCGCAAGAACACCAGUGGCGAAGGCGGCUCACUGGCCCAUAACUGACGCUGAGGCACGAAAGCGUGGGGAGCAAACAGG